AACGUUUCGAAAGGAACGCUAAUACCGCAUACGUCCUACGGAGAAAGCAGGGACCUUCGGGCCUUGCGCUAUCAGAUGAGCCUAGGUCGGAUUAGCUAGUUGGUGAGGUAAUGGCUCACCAAGGCGACGAUCCGUAACUGGUCUGAGAGGAUGAUCAGUCACACUGGAACUGAGACACGGUCCAGACUCCUACGGGAGGCAGCAGUU
rnacentral:rRNA from 1 species